GACGGAGGAUGCAAGUGUUAUCCGGAAUCACUGGGCGUAAAGCGUCUGUAGGUGGUUCGAAAAGUCCACUGUUAAAAAUUGAGGCUUAACUUCAAAGAUGCCGUGGAAACUUUCAAACUAGAGUAUGGUAGGGGUAGAGGGAAUUUCCAGUGGAGCGGUGAAAUGCGUAGAUAUUGGAAAGACCACCGAUGGCGAAGGCACUCUACUGGGCCAUUACUGACACUGAGAGACGAAAAGCUAGGGGAGCAAAUGGG
rnacentral:rRNA from 1 species